rnacentral:tRNA from 1 species
UAGAAGGUAGUAUAUGUGGAAGUACUGAAAGUUUUGGGCUUUCAAGUUCGAGUUCGAAUCUCGGCUUUCUAG